UAUUUAAAAUCGUUGAAAUUAAUGAAUAUCAAGUCAUUUGAAAAGUGCUGGGAAAUAUAUAUACUGGUAAACUGUAGCAACGAAUUGAAAUGAAACAUAGAUAGGAACAUGAUGAUACUUGUUGUUGCUCCUGAUGGGGUCUUUUUGUAUAAGGUUGCACCGCAUUUCGUCCCAUUACUAGAACGCACUACGCCAACAGUUUUUUAGCCAAUCAAAUCUUUGAACUAGUUUACAGCGCAUGAUGUAGCGUCAUAAGUAUCCAGGCGCAAUUAACUCAGUAGAAUAGUAGGAUUUGUAGAACUCUUGUCUGAGAGGCUUUUAAUAGAAGACCAUCUCACAGUAAACCUCUAUCACAAUUGAACAAGAGAAAACUGAAUUUCCUAGUGAAGAAGAACUGUACUAUCAUCGUCAUCACCAUCGCACACUGCACAAGCAGACACUGCACUUAAUGACAGUAUCAAAAGAGGUAGAGUUUUGCAGACUUCAGUGUUGCUAUAUCACGGCUACCCAUGUCCUAAAUCAUAAUGUAUCGGUUAUGCAAGAAAAUUCGUUUGGAGUGUUUCCGGUUAUGAGUUAAAAGAGAACAACACGCCGCUUCGACAGGAACGUAUUCACCAAAACUAAAUAAAGAUGCUGCUUAUUCGGAACCAAAGACGUGGCAAUCAAGGCCAGACCCAGAUAGUAUGUCAACUGUAUGUAUAGUAGGUGCAGAGAAUUGAAGAAGAUAGAGUGUAUUAUUCUAAGGUGAAGAUAACGAACAGUGACCAAUCUCAUAACUCCUAUAAGCAAUACAAAAUAGAGAGUUGGGCAAACAUGGACCCCUGGACACACCAGAGGUAGGAUUAGGUGCCUAGGAGGAGUAAGCAUCCCCCGUCAAUCGGCUACACCCGCCGUGAGCCCCACACCCCGAUCAGGCAAACGGAGUUGUCCGCAGCCAAAAUCAGAACGGUCCACCAAUCGCUACAUGAUGUUGCACAGAAUAUGUUGUUACUUUGCAUUUUCUGGUCUAGUACUUUACUUCAAAUUCAGAACACCAAAUGUUAAAGUCUAUAAGGAAUUACUUCAUAUUAGGAUAUAGAAAUCUAUUGAUUUCCUAGUAAAAUGGUUAAGGGGCCGUAGGCCAUAGUCAGAUUACCUGGGGGGGGGGGAUACACUAUAUAAAUGUAGGUGUCGAUCUUGUGUCAAUUUACUCUUUAGGAUGAAUUUAUAAGCAUGGAAGCUAUCAUGAUAUGGUCUUGUGAUUAUGAUAACGUUUUCUCUACUUCACAGGGACCAUUUAGACAGAGAUCGCCUCCAAAAAAAUAUAUUUACCGAAUGCACCAAAUCGACAUGCCAGAGAACAACCCAUCAGGCAACAUGAUGGUUACAGAAUAAAUGACUCUAAGCUGUUGCAGCCGCAGAGACUUGGACUAAACUUUGAUUACAUGUCAGAAUCUAAUGUGUAAUAAAAAUACUAGUUAAUU